rnacentral:rRNA from 1 species
GAUGAACGCUGGCGGCGUGCCUAAUACAUGCAAGUCGAGCGGACGGACGAGCAGCUUGCUUCUCUGAUGUUAGCGGCGGACGGGUGAGUAACACGUGGAUAACCUACCUAUAAGACUGGGAUAACUUCGGGAAACCGGAGCUAAUACCUGAUGAUAUUUUGAACCGCAUGGUUCAAAAGUGAAAGACGGUCUUGCUGUCACUUAUAGAUGGAUCCGCGCUGCAUUAGCUAGUUGGUAAGGUAACGGCUUACCAAGGCAACGAUGCAUAGCCGACCUGAGAGGGUGAUCGGCCACACUGGAACUGAGACACGGUCCAGACUCCUACGGGAGGCAGCAGUAGGGGAUCGUCCGCAAGGGGCGAAAGCCUGACGGAGCAACGCCGCGUGAGUGAUGAAGGUCUUCGGAUCGGAGAACUCUGUUAUUAGGGAAGAACAUAUGGGUAGGUAACUGGGCGCGUCUUGACGGUACCUAAACAGAAAGCCACGGCUAACUACGUG